rnacentral:rRNA from 1 species
AGAGUUUGAUCAUGGCUCAGGAUUAACGCUGGCGGUAUGCCUAACACAUGCAAGUCGAACGGAAUACUAAUUAAGAGAAUCUCACACUAGUGAGAGGUUCUCACGAGUAGUAUUUAGUGGCGGACGGGUGAGUAACACGUUGGAACCUGCCCCGAAGUGGGGAAUAACUGCUCGAAAGAGUAGCUAAUACCCCAUAGUAUCCGGUUUAUCCGGAUUAAAGAUUUUAUCGCUUCGGGAGGGGCCUGCGUCUGAUUAGCUAGUUGGUGAGGUAAAAGCUCACCAAGGCGACGAUCAGUAGCUGGUUCGAGAGGAUGACCAGCCACACUGGGACUGAGAUACGGCCCAGACUCCUACGGGAGGCAGCAGUGAGGAAUCUUCCACAAUGGACGAAAGUCUGAUGGAGCAAUACCGCGUGCAGGAAGACGCUUUUCGGAGUGUAAACUGCUUUUGUCGUCGAAGAUUAUGACUGUAGACGAAGAAUAAGGACCGGCUAACUACGUG